CUACCACAUCCAAGGAAGGCAGCAGGCGCGCAAAUUACCCACUCCCGAGACGGGGAGGUAGUGACGAUAAAUAACGAUGCGGGACUCAAUCGAGGCCCCGUAAUUGGAAUGAGUACACUUUAAAUCCUUUAACGAGGAUCAAUUGGAGGGCAAGUCUGGUGCCAGCAGCCGCGGUAAUUCCAGCUCCAAUAGCGUAUAUUAAAGUUGUUGCAGUUAAAAAGCUCGUAGUUGGAUCUCAGGAUUUGGAUGGAUGGUUCGCUUUCGGGCGCUACUAUCUGUCUGACCUACUCUAGUCGUGGAUGCCUUGGGUGCUCUUAAUUGAGUGCCUUUGGUGCCCGACGCAAUUACUUUGAAAAAAUUAGAGUGCUCAAAGCAGGCGUAUUGCCUGAAUAGUGUUGCAUGGAAUAAUGAAAUAGGAGUUUACUUCUAUUUUGUUGGUUUUCGGAGGUGAACUAAUGAUUAACAGGGACAGACGGGGGCAUUUGUAUGGAGGGGUUAGAGGUGAAAUUCUUGGAUCCUCUCCAGACAAACUACUGCGAAAGCAUUUGCCAGGAAUGUUUUCACUAAUCAAGAACGAAAGUCAGAGGUUCGAAGACGAUCAGAUACCGUCCUAGUUCUGACCAUAAAUGAUGCCAUCUAACAAUCCACGAAGUUUGCUUGUACGAACUCGUGGGCGGUCCCCGGGAAACCAAAGAUUUUGGGUUCCGGGGGAAGUAUGGUUGCAAAGCUGAAACUUAAAGGAAUUGACGGAAGGGCACCACCAGGAGUGGAGCCUGCGGCUUAAUUUGACCCAACACGGGAAACCUCACCCGGCCCGGACACUUUUAGGAUUGACAGAUUGAAGGCUCUUUCUUGAUCAAGUGGUUGGUGGUGCAUGGCCGUUCUUAGUUGGUGGAGCGAUUUGUCUGGUUAAUUCCGAUAACGAACGAGACUCUACUCUGCUAAAUAGAACGUUGAUAUAUAAAAGUCAGUGCUGACUUCUUAGAGAGACUAACGGCGUUUAGCCGUGUGAGAAAGAGCAAUAACAGGUCUGUGAUGCCCUUAGAUGUCCGGGGCCGCACGCGCGCUACACUGACUGCAGCAACUAGUAUGCUCCUGGUUUGAAAAAACUGGGUAACCUGGUUGAAUUGCAGGCGUGACAGGGAUCAGAGUUUGCAAUUAUCCUCUGUGAACGAGGAAUUCCCAGUAAGCGCAAGUCAUUAGCUUGUGCUGAUUACGUCCCUGCCCUUUGUACACACCGCCCGUCGCUACUACCGAUUGAAUGGUUUAGUUAGGUCUUCGGAUUGGUGCUGAUGGAGUGGUUCUCUGCUCUGUUAGUGCCGAGAAGAUGAUCAAACUUGAUCAUUUAGAGGAAGUAAAAGUCGUAACAAGGUU
rnacentral:rRNA from 1 species